CAAAUUCACUGAGGUCAGCAUGAACCACAUGUGCGUUGCAGAUUUCUCCUAGACUCUCUUGGACCAUGUUCUUUAAGAAAAAAUCUAUUAUGUCCGUAUGUUGAACUUGACGACCCAACUGUUUGGCUUCUGCAGGUGCAUAGGCCAUUGGCAUCCAGCUUUUCUUACUGGGUGGAAUGAGAUUUUCAUCCCAAGUCACAAAGUAGAGAUCACCAUCAAGGUCACUCCCUGAUGCUUCAUUUGAAUGUGGCCUAUCCCCUUUCUGAGGGAAGACCAGACAAUCAUAGAGAUGGUGUAAACCAGGAACAUCUACAGCCUCCAGAAUCCUCACAUCCCCGGGAUGAAGACACGGGUUCUUUGCAAUUACAACAAGGCCCUUUACUACUUGAAGAUUUUUCUUGAUUUCAGAAAACUCUGGACCAUGCUUAACAAAACAGGUCUCCAAAGAAGGGCUUGACACUUGAAUAAAGCAUUGGCCUUGCUCAAGUUCACCUAAUUCAUCCAAACAGCCCAUCAACCACCUUCCUGAAGUAACAAACAUCCUUGUCUUAUUCCUGAGGUCGCCAAGCUGAGCAGCUCUAAUGCUAGCCAACAUCCCUCUCAAAUGAGGUUCACUUUGAGGUUUAAACCCUGCACUCAACAUUAUAGCCGCUGUAUUUCCUGCCUCGGCACAUGAAGCUGUAAUCACAUCAAAAGCCACGUCCGAAUCCACAAGUAUCUUAUCCAACUUUGAUAACAUUUCUUUCUGCAUUUCCCAAAACAUUUCAUCUUUAACUUCCAAGGAUGAGAGCAAGG
rnacentral:misc_RNA from 1 species